AUUGAACGCUGGCGGCAGGCCUAACACAUGCAAGUCGAGCGAGAGGCGGACGGGUGAGUACUGUCUGGGAAACUGCCCGAUGGAGGGGGAUAACUACUGGAAACGGUAGCUCAUACCGCAUACCAUCAGAUGUGCCCAGAUGGGAUUAGCUCGUAGGUGGGGUAACGGCUCACCGAGGCGACGAUCCCUAGCUGGUCUGAGAGGAUGACCAGCCACACUGGAACGGAGACACGGUCCAGACUCCUACGGGAGGCAGCAGUGGGGAAUAUUGCACAAUGGGCGCAAGCCUGAUGCAGCCAUGCCGCGUGUGUGAAGAAGGCCUUCGGGUUGUAAAGCACUUUCAGCGGGGAGGCGUUACCCGCAGAAGAAGCACCGGCUAACUCCGUGCCAGCAGCCGCGGUAAUAC
rnacentral:rRNA from 1 species